AUUGGUGAGAAAGAAUCAACAAAAAUUUAGUGUACACAGAGGGAGGUGAAAGAGGUAGAUAGAGGUGAGAUAAAGGUAGAAUAUUGUAAGCCAUGAUAAGGAGCUUAUUAAAUAGAUUGUUAAUUCUAUGAGAAGCCAUUAAAAUAAGGUUUUAAGUGGAAGGAUGCUACCAUGUGACGUAGGGUUUGAAAAGAUUACUUUGGCUCUCAUGGAGAAUGGACUUAAGGUGCCUUGAGUGAAAGCAGGGAGACUAGUUUAAAAAGCUUUGCUUCUUGAUGAAGCUGGAUUAUAAAACAAAUGUUAGUAUAUCUUCUGUUCAAACAGCAUCUGUUUUAUGUUUGCUGCGUUUCUUCUUAGGUUAUUUUCUUAAUUACCUGGACUGCUGAGUCAUUCUGAGUGGGAAAUACUGCCUUUGAAUAUGUGUAUAUUUUAGUUAGAGUAUUAACUGUUAUUAACUGCUUAAUGGACUACAUAGGGCUACUUUUAUUUAAAAUUUAGUGUAAAAAGUUUGGGUAAAGAUUUAUAAUAAUUAUAACUUUUGUUUAUUCUAUUACAGAUAUCUAAACACACAUCUUAAAAGCUGAGAUGAUGGUAUAUAUACAGUUGACCUUUUAACCUCAUAUUAUCUCAUGUGUAUUUUUUGUUUUUGAGCCGUAGUUCCAAAAAAGUUUUAAAAUUGUGAAUUAUAACAAACAGAAAAUUGCAUACAAAAUAAGUGAAUUAUUAUAUAACAGAUAUAUACCUCCCAAGAAAUAUUACAGGCAACCAAAAAUCUUUAUGAUAGUUCCAUCAAUAUGAAAACUGUCUUUCAAAGUGGUAAAAUAACAUUUUAUUGUUAUACUUUAUAAUAGCUGGUAUUUAAACUAUGGAAGGAAUAAUUAAUGUAAUCAGACACCAGUUGACAAAGUAUUGACAGCCUGUGUUUCAAAACAUAAAUUGUAAGUUAAUUAUUUGGAAACUACAUUUUUUUUAAAACCUAUGAAAAAUCUAUUCUGAAUGGUGGAUAGAUUCUAGGGCCUGCCUAUCAAAAGGUUACUUGCUCUGUAAUGCUUAACUUUAGUGUUGGUUUUGGUCUUGGGUUUUGUAACUAGAAGGGGUAGAUUGAUUAGGACUUCACUUUAUAAACAUUUAAAAUCCUCAGAAUCUGUCUGGGAGGGCUUUCCCACAUUCUAGUGCAGCUGGUUAGAAUUACGCAAUUUGACCUGGAAA